rnacentral:lncRNA from 1 species
UAAAAAUGGUUGAUAUUUUGAGAAAGGGAGCAUGUAAAAGAGAAAAUAAAAGGGGGGAUAAAAAGAAAAAGAGGCAUGUGUAUAAGCAUUAAAAGCCACGAAUAUGUUGGAUGGGCAAAAAAUUCAGUGUAGGUCAGCCUUGAGAGAAAGCUAAGGUUAAAUGAAGGGUAUCAAGAAUAAAGCCAUAAAAAGUGUUCUCAUAUGGAAUGUCAAUGAUCAAAGGGAUCAUAUUCCAUCUAAGAAAUAUGUUAAUAUUGCAAGAUUGAUUCAUCAAGAGAACAGAAGAGCCUUAAGCAGAGGAGUGUUAUUUGUAGCAGAAGUUCUAAAUCAAGCUGCAGUUAAUAUGUACUAGAAUGAAAAAUUUCACUUCAACUAUCUAUAUACUAUAAGUCAAUUAGUUAAUUAGAUCUUGACUAACUAUUAGAUUGUAAUGUAAUUAUGUAUAAUAUUAAAGUGUAGGGUUAGACUUCUGCUUUAAUUGAGGCAUCAUGC